CCAGCUCCAAUAGCGUAUACUAAAGUUGUUGCAGUUAAAAAGCUCGUAGUUGAAUUUCUGACUUUGAGGCGCGACCGACCCCGUGUGGGUCUGUGUCUGCGAAUUGAGGUCAUCCUCGGGGAAUGCGUAUCUGUCAUUAACUUGAUGGGUACGAGUACCCCGUCAUUUACUGUGAGCAAAAUAGAGUGUUCAAAGCAGGCUUACGCCGUUGAAUACAUUAGCAUGGAAUAAUAAGAUAGGACCUUGGUCUAUUUUGUUGGUUAGUACUCCAAGGUAAUGAUUAAUAGGGACAGUUGGGGGUAUUCGUAUUCAAUUGUCAGAGGUGAAAUUCUUGGAUUUAUGGAAGACGAACUACUGCGAAAGCAUUUACCAAGGAUGUUUUCA
rnacentral:rRNA from 1 species